rnacentral:rRNA from 1 species
CCUACGGGAGGCAGCAGUGGGGAAUAUUGGGCAAUGGGCGCAAGCCUGACCCAGCAACGCCGCGUGAAGGAAGAAGGCUUUCGGGUUGUAAACUUCUUUUCUCAGGGACGAAGCAAGUGACGGUACCUGAGGAAUAAGCCACGGCUAACUACGUGCCAGCAGCCGCGGCAAUACGUCGGUGGCAAGCGUUAUCCGGAUUUACUGGGUGUAAAGGGCGUGUAGGCGGGAACGCAAGUCAGAUGUGAAAACCAUGGGCUCAACCUGUGGCCUGCAUUUGAAACUGUUUUUCUUGAGUACUGGAGAGGCAGACGGAAUUCCUGGUGUAGCGGUGAAAUGCGUAGAUAUUAGGAGGAACGCCAGUGGCGAAGGCAGUCUGCUGGACAGCAACUGACGCUGAGGCGCGAAAGCGUGGGGAGCAAACAGGAUUAGAUACCCUGGUAGUC